UGGAGGUUGGAAUAUGUGUGAGCGAAAUCUUGAUUUAAAAAGAUACUAAUGAAAAAAUGAUAAAGAUCCAACUCUGAUUUCAUCCAUCG
ensembl:snoRNA small nucleolar RNA, C/D box 19B